rnacentral:rRNA from 1 species
GACGGAGGAGGCAAGCGUUAUCCGGAAUUAUUGGGCGUAAAGGGUACGUAGGCGGCUGGUCAAGUCUGGGGUCAAAGGCCACAGCUCAACCGUGGGAAGGCACUGGAAACUGGACGGCUAGAGUGAGGUAGGGGUUGCGGGAAUUCCCGGUGUAGCGGUGAAAUGCGUAGAGAUCGGGAAGAACACCUGAGGCGGAAGCGCGCAACUGGGCCUCAACUGACGCUGAGGUAAGAAAGCUAGGGGAGCGAAUGGG